CUGUUUAUCUAAUUCAUCAGUCUUCUAAUGGCGGAUCACUCGACCGCCAUGAUUUUCCCUGAUGAAGCUCUCAGAAUUGUACUGGAAGUCGCUCAACGCCUUCCUCCCGUCACCGUUUCUCUUCACGAUGCUCUUGAGAAGGUCUUGGCCCAGGAUUUUCGCGCUCCGGGCCCUUGCCGCCCUAUCCGGCCUCCAUUAAGGUGAACCCCGAAAGUACGCCGAAGUCAAGCCCGCCCUCCUGAACAUGGUCGCUGCUUCGGAGCUCCUCCGCUCGCGGCUGGGCUGUGCCAAGUGAGUUUGAGAAUACUGUGGGGUUAGGAAACAAAAGAACCUUGAAUUCCCAUUUGAUAUAGAGAUUGUUAGAAGUAAGUAAUUGUAAAUAUGGCAAUUUUAUUUCCAUCAUUUUGAAUAAACAAUUUGACAUAUUUGAGUUGUUCACUUAUGAACAAGACCUUCAUGACUGGUUCUUCACAA